rnacentral:misc_RNA from 1 species
CACCAACAGCUCCUCUCCCUCUCUCUCUCAUAAUCAGAGACCGAAGGAACCAAACCAAUUAGCGCAAACGAGGCCUUCAAAUCUCUCCCUCUCCUCUCAUCCCCCCAUAUAUCUUUCGCUCAAAUCAAAACCUAUAAAAGAAAUCUGUUUUCGAAAUCUUCCCUCUAAUUUCUCCCCUGCUUGUCAAUUUGCAAUAAUUUUCUACUUCGAUCGGGCUAAAUCAACC